rnacentral:rRNA from 1 species
UGAACGCUGGCGGUAUGCUUAACACAUGCAAGUCGAACGGAAACGAUACUAGCUUGCUAGUAGGCGUCGAGUGGCGGACGGGUGAGUAACGCGUAGGAAUCUGCCUGAUAGUGGGGGAUAGCCCGAAGAAAUUCGGAUUAAUACCGCAUAAUCUAUUCGUAGUAAAGUGGGGGACUUUCGAGCCUCACGCUAUCAGAUGAGCCUGCGUAAGAUUAGCUUGUUGGUAGGGUAAAAGCCUACCAAGGCGACGAUCUUUAGCUGGUCUGAGAGGAUGAUCAGCCACAUCGGGACUGAGACACGGCCCGAACUCCUACGGGAGGCAGCAGUGGGGAAUAUUGGACAAUGGGGGCAACCCUGAUCCAGCAAUACCGCGUGUGUGAAGAAGGCCUGAGGGUUGUAAAGCACUUUCAAUUGUGAAGAAAAGUUAGCGGUUAAUAACCGUUAGCCUUGACGUUAACUUUAGAAGAAGCACCGGCUAACUCCGUGCCGGCAGCCGCGGUAAUACGGAGGGUGCAAGCGUUAAUCGGAAUUACUGGGCGUAAAGCGUGCGUAGGCGGUUUAUUAAGUCAGAUGUGAAAGCCCCGGGCUUAACCUGGGAACUGCAUUUGAAACUGGUCAACUAGAGUAUGGUAGAGGAAAGUGGAAUUUCUGGUGUAGCGGUGAAAUGCGUAGAUAUCAGAAGGAACAUCAAUGGCGAAGGCAGCUUUCUGGACCAAUACUGACGCUGAGGUACGAAAGCGUGGGUAGCAAACAGGAUUAGAUACCCUGGUAGUCCACGCCGUAAACGAUGAUAACUAGCCGUUGGGGGGAUUUACCCUUUAGUGGCGAAGCUAACGCGUUAAGUUAUCCGCCUGGGGAGUACGGCCGCAAGGUUAAAACUCAAAGGAAUUGACGGGGACCCGCACAAGCGGUGGAGCAUGUGGUUUAAUUCGAUGCAACGCGAAGAACCUUACCUGGUCUUGACAUCCUGCGAACUUUCUAGAAAUAGAUUGGUGCCUUCGGGAACGCAGUGACAGGUGCUGCAUGGCUGUCGUCAGCUCGUGUCGUGAGAUGUUGGGUUAAGUCCCGUAACGAGCGCAACCCCUAUCCUUAUUUGCCAGCACAUCAUGGUGGGAACUAUAAGGAGACUGCCGGUGAUAAACCGGAGGAAGGCGGGGACGACGUCAAGUCAUCAUGGCCCUUACGACCAGGGCUACACACGUGCUACAAUGGGAAGGACAAAGAGCCGCGAAGCCGCGAGGUGUAGCUAAUCUCAUAAACCUUUUCGUAGUCCGGAUUGGAGUCUGCAACUCGACUCCAUGAAGUCGGAAUCGCUAGUAAUCGUAGAUCAGAAUGCUACGGUGAAUACGUUCCCGGGUCUUGUACACACCGCCCGUC